rnacentral:rRNA from 1 species
AAGGGGGCGGUCAUCCAUGUUAGUCGAGCGGUAGAGAGAGCUUGCUUCUCUUGAGAUCGGCGGACGGGUGAGUAAUGCCUAUGAAUCUGCCUGGUACUGGGGGAUAACGUUCGGAAACGGACGCUAAUACCGCAUACGUCCUACGGGAGAAAGCAAGGGACCUUCAGGCCUUGCGCUAUCACAUGAGCCUAGGUCGGAUUAGCUAGUUGGUGAGGUAAUGGCUCACCAUCGCGACGAUCCGUAACUGGUUCUGAGAGGAUGAUCAUUCACACUGGAACUGAGACACAGUCCAGACUCCUACUCCAGGCAGCAGUGGGGAAUAUUGGACAAUGGGCGAAAGCCUGAUCCAGACAUGCCGCGUGUGUGAGUAUGGUCUUCGGAUUGUAGAGCACUUUAAGUUGGGAGGAAGGGCAGUUACCGAGUACGUGAUUGUUUUGACGUUGCCGACAGAAAAGCACCGGCUAACUCUGUGUCAGCACCCGCAGCCAUACAGAUGGGUGCAAGCGUUAGUCUGAAUUACUGUUACGUAAACCGCGCGUAUGUGGUUAGUUAUGUUGGAUGUGAAUUCCCCAGCCUCGAGCUGAGCAACUGCAUUCCAAUCUGACUGACUAGAGUAUGGUACAUGGUGAUGGGAGUUUCCAUGUCUAGCGUGAAAGUGCAUAAGAUAUAAGAAUGGAACACAUGCCGAAGGCGACCGCCCUGCCCCUGAUACUGAAACCUUGACGUGCGAAGGUGGCGUGCAAACGAAUAGAAAUCCAUUGCAUGCCAGCCGUAACGAUGUCACUCACCGUUGAAGUCGUUGACCUCUGUACUGGCCCCUACGCAUACGUUGACCGCACUGGCAUACAGGCCAGCUUAGUUCCAUGAUGACGUGGCCUGCCCACACCCUGGCGUAUGCUAUCAUCAGCCACCUUA